rnacentral:pre_miRNA from 1 species
UGACUUUCUUCUUAGUCAAACUUCUUUAAGUUUGACCAAAUUUAUAGAAAAAUAUGUUAACAUUUUCAAUACAAAACAAAUAUAUUAUCAAAAUAUAUUCGAUGCUAAAUUUAAUGAAACUAGUUUGGUGUUGUAAAUGUUGCUAUUUUUUCUUAUAAACUUGGUCAAACCUAAAGAAGUUUGACUAAGAAAAAAGUCAA